GGAAGGGUGCCUGAGAGGUCGAAAGGAGCCGCCUGCUAAGCGGUUGAGGGGCCUUUAAAGCUCCUCCGAGGGUUCGAAUCCCUCCCCUUCCGCCG
rnacentral:tRNA from 1 species